rnacentral:piRNA from 1 species
UAACCCAUGAUAUACUUGCUGGAGAUUGGA